GAUGAACGCUGGCGGCGUGCCUAAUACAUGCAAGUAGAACGCUGAAGCUUGGUGCUUGCACCGAGCGGAGGAGUUGCGAACGGGUGAGUAACGCGUAGGUAACCUGCCUCUUAGCGGGGGAUAACUAUUGGAAACGAUAGCUAAUACCGCAUAAAAGUCGACAUUGCAUGAUGUUGACUUGAGAGGUGCAACUGCAUCACUAAGAGAUGGACCUGCGUUGUAUUAGCUAGUUGGUGAGGUAACGGCUCACCAAGGCGACGAUACAUAGCCGACCUGAGAGGGUGAUCGGCCACACUGGGACUGAGACACGGCCCAGACUCCUACGGGAGGCAGCAGUAGGGAAUCUUCGGCAAUGGACGGAAGUCUGACCGAGCAACGCCGCGUGAGUGAAGAAGGUUUUCGGAUCGUAAAGCUCUGUUGUAAGAGAAGAACGAGUGUGAGAGUGGAAAGUUCACACUGUGACG
rnacentral:rRNA from 1 species